CCUACGGGAGGCAGCAGUGAGGAAUAUUGGACAAUGGAUGGAAAUCUGAUCCAGCCAUGCCGCGUGCAGGAAGACGGCCCUAUGGGUUGUAAACUGCUUUUAUAUGGGAGCAAUAUGGUCUACGCGUAGACCGAUGAGAGUACCAUAUGAAUAAGCAUCGGCUAACUCCGUGCCAGCAGCCGCGGUAAU
rnacentral:rRNA from 1 species